AACGAACGCUGGCGGCAGGCCUAACACAUGCAAGUCGAACGCGUCCUUGGGACGAGUGGCAGACGGGUGAGUAACGCGUGGGAACGUACCCUUUGGUUCGGAACAACGCCGGGAAACUGGCGCUAAUACCGGAUAAGCCCUUCGGGGGAAAGAUUUAUCGCCAUUGGAGCGGCCCGCGUUAGAUUAGCUAGUUGGUAGGGUAAUGGCCUACCAAGGCGACGAUCUAUAGCUGGUCUGAGAGGAUGAUCAGCCACACUGGGACUGAGACACGGCCCAGACUCCUACGGGAGGCAGCAGUGGGGAAUCUUGCGCAAUGGGCGAAAGCCUGACGCAGCCAUGCCGCGUGAAUGAUGAAGGUCUUAGGAUUGUAAAUUACUUUCACCGGGACGAUAAUGACGGUACCCGGAGAAGAAGCCCGGCUAACUUCGUG
rnacentral:rRNA from 1 species